rnacentral:rRNA from 1 species
AGCGAACGCUGGCGGUAGGCCUAACACAUGCAAGUCGAACGGCAGCACCUUAUGUGCUUGCUCUAACGGGUGGCGAGUGGCGGACGGGUGAGGAAUACAUCGGAAUCUACUUUUCCGCGGCGUGGAACUAAGGCAGGCUAACUGUAAUUCAUCCCCGAUCCGACGGCUGAAAGCAGCGGGUCUUCGAACACGGUUUGCUUGAAUCAGCGGAUGUCGGAUGAGCUAGUGGGCGGGGUAGAGGCGCACCAAGCCGACGAUCCGUAGGCGGGUUGCGAGGGUGAGCAGGCACAGUGGAACUGAGACAGGGACAAGACUCCGACGGGAGGCAGCGGUGGGGGAGAGUAGACAAGGGGCGCAAGCGUGAGCCAGCCGUAGCGCGUGGGUGAAGAAGGCCUUCGGGUUGUAAAGCCCUUUUGUUGGGGAAGAAGAGCAGGAGGUUAAGACGCCGCGGUUCUGACGGUAGCCGAAGAAUAAGCACCGGCUAACUUCGUG